rnacentral:lncRNA from 1 species
CAAGUUCUCGUAAUCUUAUGUGAAGAAUUACAAGCAUCAAAAAUUGAAAUAAUGUCUCCCCUUUCUAUAUUUAUAUAAUCUACCAAGAAUUUUUCCUCAAUUAGUUAAUUAUACCCCUUUGUGGAAAAUAUCUGACCUUUACAUUGAUUUCCAAUUUCAGUUUGACUGUUUUUGCAUCUUUUCCUCCAGAAGCAGCUUCUUUCAAAAUUUCCCACAAUGAACUACAAAGACAAUAUAUUCAGGUCCCACAAUUAGAUGCUUCUUUGACAAGAUGAAGUUGAAGUUUAGCUAGUAAUUCCUCGUAUGCAAUACAAAAUAGGCCCUUGUUGUCCAAUUUCGAAGCGUUUUCAAUAGAACACAAAAUAAAAAUGUUCACAAUGAUUCGAGCAAAGCUAUAUAGUUCCCAAAUAAAAACAGCAAAAACAUGGAAGAAACCAAUGUAUACAACGAUUAGAAGGAAAUUUUUGAAAGUGAAAUUAAAAGUUAGCUCAUAGUGACAGUUAAGGCACCCUCGACAAUCAGAUUAUAAUCCAUCAAAUCAUCUGCUUCCUCUAGGACAAUCUGCGGCAAAACUUAGACAUCAAAACAAAGAAGGAAAAAAAAUUAUUGCUAUUUGAAUAUUAGUAAGCCAAAAUUUGAGGGCCAGAUAUAGGUACAUCGGCUAGCUAGCAAGUCAACUUUUGCCGAUUUUUGGGGGUGAAUUGCAGGUUGUAGUUGAGAUGUGGAUGUGUGGCUAUUUUGAAAAAAAUAAAAAACAAAAUCAUUAGUAAAAAUCCCCAACAAAAGUAUAAGAAAUCUCAGAAAGCAAAAAUCGAGCAUAAUUAUACACAUCAAGUAAAAAUUGAAGCUUUUGAAGUAGACAUAGGUAAAUGGAGAGAACCCAACAGAAUUUUUACACACCAGACAAAAAAAUGCAAAAAUACCUUAAAGGUAGCUAAGAUACCUUAAAUCCGCAAACAAGCAAAGAUGUAACAAAAACUUAACUUUCUCGGCUAGAUCAAGGUAAAAUAAGGGAAAAUCGG